UUUUUUUUUUUUUUUUUGUCAAUACAGGAUGUCCGGGUCAAUCCUUACAGGACCCGACUAAUCCCCUGCAUAAAAUCUAAACCAAUUGGGCCAAAAUCACCUCGACUUACGUACACAUACAUUUUCUUCCAAUUCUCUUCUCUUUUCUUUCUUUAAUUGCAUCAACAAAUAUCAACCAAUAUGAUUUUCUCUUAUUGAAAUGAUACUCAAGAAAGUAAUACCUGUCAUGAUAAAGGAAGUUUGUAAGCUGUUAUGGGACUGUGGCAAUGUAUAAAACCUUGACGAAUUUGUUGUAAUAUGUAAUGCUUCAUGAAAUUGUUACUGAUAUCGUUAUUUGUUUCAUUUUAUCUAAUUAUCUAAUUGAAAAAUAUUUUACGUACGAUAUAAGAAUAUAAAUUGUUAAAAAGUAAAAGGAAUAUGUUAAUCAAUUUGGAACAAAACGAAAUUAUGUUGACUGAGAAGUUCCAUAAUUGAAUUUGUGGUACUUAUUCGGUUUUAAGGUUUUUUAGAUUUCAAAAACCAUAUAAAUCUGAUGUGUUACUUUGAUAUCAAAUGGUAUAUAUGAAAAUUCUAAUGCAUACCCUUUUACUGAUCUGUUUUAGCUAAAUCAUGUAUUGUUCCUUAGUCUUCAAUUUUCCUAAUAAUGUAUGAUUAAUCUUCUAUUCAUUCACAGUGUAUAUAUCGUUGGAUUUAGAUACAUGAUAAGUCAUUUGAAUUUGAAUUUAAAUCUCAAAUUUUCAUAUAUGGCACGCAUCUAACCUCGUUAGUAGUAUAUACAUUGUCAUUGUAUGAAAAAUUAAUCCAAUGAUGUAACCAAUACGAUGUUCAUGGUAAUAUGUAACAAUCUAAUAACAAUUCUGAUGAAAUUCUCAACUGAUACCUACAUUUAUCAGUAAAUUGUUUUCUCUAAAGGUGUUUAAUUUUCAAGAUUUGUUUGAUCAUUAUGAUAGCUCAAGAAAUUUUCAAUGGAUAUCCUAAAAAGGAGCUCAGCUAUAUGGGUGAAAACAAUGGUGAGCAAGCUGGACACCAUGUGGGCAACAAUUGAAUCAGACAUCUCCAAAUCUGGCUCAUCCAACAUCAUCCCUCCUUUGCAACAAUUUCUCUUCAAUUUCCUCACUAUUUGCAUAACUGGAGCUGAUCCCUCAACUUCCCCGGAGAUAUCGAAAGCGGGUUUCGCCCUGAUUGAUACAUGGCUUGGAUUGCAGCUCCUCCCAACUGUCAAAGUUGGCAUUCUACAACCUUUAGAAGAAAUCUUCCUCCACUCCUUUCAAUACCCAUUUUGGCUUGUCCAAGGUGGCUAUAACAAGCUCGUCAAAUUCAUUGAAGAAGAAGGCACAGAAGUAAUACAAAGGGGUGAAAAAGAGUUCAAUCUAACUGCAAAAGAAACGGUUCACAAUCUUUUGUUCAUGCUAGGGUUCAAUGCUUAUGGUGGCUUCUCAUUACUUUUCCUUGCUCUUGUCAAUGCUCUGGGAGAUGACCAGAAUCCAGGGAUUCAAGAAAAACUCAGAAAUGAAGUUAGAGAAAAAAUUGGAACAGAUUCAUCAAAGCUUAGUUUUGAAGCCAUCAAAGAAUUGGAGCUGGUCCAAUCUUUCGUUUAUGAAGCUUUGAGACUUAACCCUCCAGUUCCUUUGCAAUAUGCAAGAGCUAGGAAAGACUUCAAGUUGACUUCAUAUGAUUCAGUGUACGAGAUCAAGAAAGGUGAGCUUCUUUGUGGCUAUCAACCAUUGGUGAUGAAGGAUUCAAAGGUGUUUGAUAAUCCUGAAAAUUUUGAGCCUGGAAGAUUUACUGAAGAAAAGGGUCAGGAGUUAUUGAAUUAUCUUUUUUGGUCUAAUGGACCACAGACAGGGUCACCAAGUGAAUCCAACAAACAGUGUGCUGCUAAAGACUAUGUGACUCUCACAGCAUCUUUGUUUUUGGCUGACAUGUUUCAAAGAUAUGAUUCAAUUACCAUUUCUUCAGGAUCAAUUACUGCCGUAAAAAAUGCUAAUUGAUCAACUUGUGUACAAUAUUCGGAUUCAGAAGGAUCAGUUUUACAAAUAUUAUCACGUUAUGAAGGUGGUUCUUUUGCAUAAUUAUGUAAGUCUUUUCUUUUUUUCGAAUUGGUUUGUUACUUCCAUGAAGUUCACACUCUAUUAAUCCUAAGAUUAAUUAAACAUACACUAAUAAUGUAGAAAAGAUUAAUCUAUAAUUUAGAAAGUUUUACUACUCUAAACAUGCCCAUAUUUCUUGUACUUGUGUAAUUUUACCUAAUUAUAAGACAGGUUACAAUAUGUUUGUCUUCUAGAAUAAGGCAGAGGUCAAAAUGAAGAAUAUGCAUUUUUGAAACAAUACGUUUAAGCUUUUAGAUUGUGCCUGCUAGGGCCUUGGUCCUCCUAUUAGGUGAUCAUUGUUGUGUUUUUCGCUUUUCUCAAUAAGAAUAAUAAAAGAGGGUAGAUAGUGAUUAAAAGGUUGAUGCAACUGGACUAAUCAUCAAUCAAGAAGAUAUAAGAUGGAUGGUACUUAUGUUUCACCAAAAAAAAUACAAAAUAAAAGUCAGGGGAAUGGUACUUUUUUUUUUUUUUUUCAUUCGUCGCUAUUUUAUUUAUAUCCUACUCUAUUCUAAUCUAUCUAAGAGGAGGCCCAACUGGACCUAUGAGGGACAAGUGGAGACUAAAUCAUCACCGAACCAAACGGGUGCAUUCUAAAUUUUUUAGAAGAGCCACUUAUUGUGGCAAUUGAAACCUUGACUUCUCACCCCACCAGGCGAUCACCAGCCCAAAGGCGGGUGGUUAGGGGAAUGGGGGAUGGUACUUAGGGUCCUACAUUUUUGUGAAUUGGAUGAUUGUCUUUGUUUGUAUAUUGAAAAGUUAGGUUGCAAAGGAUAAGGCAUGGAAUCUGGACCGAAGGUUUAUUGCAGUGUCAAUGAAAAUUUUAUCUCGGCAUUCUUACAAGAUGUCAGAAACAUCUAUUUUUGUAUUAAAAUUUUUUUUCUUGAAAACUGCAAUAAAUACUCAGAGAAGUGUUUGUUCUCCGUCAUUGAGUAUAUCUUCGUGCUCUACAUACUUCUUCUGACAAAGAUAAGAAACUAUCUGUUCAAGAUAAGUUAUUAAAUUCAGGUUUGAUCAUCUUUGCCAAAAGAAAUCUGUCUAUAACAGAGCAAUAAAUAUUCAUGAAACUGCUGAGCAUUUAGCAUUGGUCUAUUCGACACAGGUACUGUAAACAUUUUUUGGUAUACUAGCGGGUCUGGAUAAUGCAAUCUCUUUUCAAAUUAAAAUUUUUAUUUUUGUAUAUAUUGUAUGUAGAUAGACUAGCUAGUACUAUUUAAAAAAAUCAUUUAUAUUGACACUAGUAACAAUUCACGUACUUUACACAUGAAUAUAUUUUUCCAAGAUAUAAAAUCUUUAAUAUAUUAAAUUUCUGUGCAAAACUUGGAUUAUUGGCAUAAUAUAAACAAAGAAACUAUAAAAUGAACAAAAUUAAACAAUUGGUAAUUGUACAAAAUAUUUAUUGUGUGCAAAGAAAUUAAAAAUUUAUUGUGCAUUCUGCAGCUAUAAAAACUCUAAAGAUGGAAGAUUAUCAUAUUUAAGUUACGUUGUUGGUAUAAUAUUGACUAAGAAACGAUAUAAUAAACAAAAUUAAGCAAUUGCUAGUUGUAGAAAAUGUUUAUUAUAUACCAAGUAAUAAAAAGUUUAUCGAACUCUAAAGAUGGAAGAUUAUCAUAUCUAAACUAAGUUGUUGCAUAUUUUACUUGGAUUGUGAUGGUAAGAAGAAGAAACUUUCUAUGUUGUGUCAAACCAGUGUGUAUAACAAAACCUACGCAAAAUACAUACUAAAACAAUAUGAUUUGGAUACAACAAAUUUUUAUCAAUUUCAGUAGUUGUAAACCUUUUCUGUUAUAUUUUUAAUAAUUAUUGAUACUUUUUGAAGUUUUCUUAGUCAAUAUGACAUAAUAUAGUGAAUUUAAUAAUCAAUUUAACCUUUUAUUUUCACAUUAACUAUUUAUAACAUUUGUCUUCUUAUUAAUUGUGGUUUUCUUCUAAACCAAUAUAUAUAUAUAUAUAUAUAUAUAGUUAGCUUUAAUUAUCACGCAUAAGAAUAUAAUAAUUAAAGAUAAUUUUAACAUAUACAAUAAUUGGAGAUGAAGAAGAUGAUUGGUGAAUAUAGUUGUAGAUAGGUAGUUUUAAUUUUAAUUUCCAACAUUUUGCAGAUGUAAUUUAUUGAAAUUUUUCAUUUUUCUUAUUAGUAUCAUGAUUGAAAUGCAAUAACUCUAAUUAAAAGACAUAAGGGUAAUUUAGGUAUAACAAAAACUAAGAUCAAAAUAUGCUUACACUCACACACCUUAUUGUCAAGACUCGUCAUACUUUUUAUAUAAUAAUAAUAAUAAUAAUGAUAAUGAUUAUUAUAUAUUUUAGAAGUUGUCACAACAUGCACAAAUGUAUUGGGUUACAAUAAUUCAUUCCAAUGGAAGAUAUAUAGAAGCAUCAAUAUUAUCUUAUUUGUAUUGAUUUCUUAGAUCUACUAUAUCUAUUGAUUUGGGAUCUAUAUAUAUCUAUAUCAUGUUUAUUUGAUGUAAUUUAUGUUAUUAGUGAAGAUUUAUUGAAUGAAAUGACAUUUACUAUCAAAAAGAAGAAAUGGCCAUGACACAAGUCACAACCACUUUGAGAUCUACUAAAUCUUUAAUUUCACCAACUAAAAAAAAAAAGAUGAAAAAUGAAAAACACUCUUACAAGGAUACUCUAGGAGAAAACAAAAUUCUCACUCGAAAAAUUUAGGGGAGAAGAAUAUCUCACUAAAAAAUCCUAAGAGAGAACAAUCUCUCACUAGAAAAUCUUAGGAGAGAAUUUAUUUAAACAAAUGAAAUAAAACUAGGAAAAGAGCCCCUCCAUAGGGAAAGACCAAAAUUAGAUGAAAUUGGAAGAAUUGGUCUUGUUUUACUGCAAAGAAUUUAGAAGAGUCAAUCUCCCUUGGCUCAGUGUUUUCACUGAUAAAAUCACACUUUCUAUAUAUUCCGUACUGAUUACUAAACAAAUUUCACAUUGCGCCUCUAAGUCUAUUGUUAAUUCUGAUUUUGCAACCAAAAUCUAUUGUAGACGCUUUAGACUUCACAUCCUCAACUUUUUAGUCCAUCUCAAUUUGACCCAAAUCUUUAUAACGAAAGUUUACUAAAUCAAUAGGUUUUUUGCUCUGUCAUUUGAACUUGGCCUUGGUUUUUUUUUUUUUGGAUCGCAACAAUAACAUUUAUAUAACUAUUCUAGCCUAGUCUAAGAGAUGAAGGAGUCUAACCGACAGAGAACCCGUUGGAGGAAACCAUUUAAAAGUGUAGCCAUAAUUAAGUGACAAGAACCCUUGCCUCCCACCUUAACCGCUCACCAACACCACUAAAACUUUAAAGUCUUGGUGAUGACUAAUAGCUCAAGAGGCUGUUGGCUUAAAACUUGGCCUUGUUUGGAAGAACCUAAUUCAAAGAUCAAUUUAGUCUAGCUCUUUUUUUUCUUUUUUGGUAAUUUUAGAAAAAUUUAUUGCAACACAUUUGUUAUUAAAUGUACAUGGAAAAUAAAAAGAUGAUUGAAGGGUAUGUGUUCGAAAUUUUAAACAAACAUGGUCAACAUAACAGAUGAGACACUAUUCAGUUCCUUGCCAUUUCAGAGGUGUUUACCACCCUUUUUCAAUUUCAGUUCCUUUCCUGUUCUUACGAGAUGAAAUACUAUUCAGUUUUACUGUUGCAUCUAAAUCCAGUAACUUCAAGCUGUCAAGAUAUAACCACAGUUGAAGAUUGAAAAAUAAUCAUCACAAAACCAAUAAAUUGCUGAUUUGACAAUCCAAAACUUUCCCAGAAGGUAGAAGUGGUAGUAACAUGAUCACAAACUUCCCAAAGCAUCCUACAAUUGGAAAUCAACAUUACUAUAAGGUAUGGCGUCAAAUCUAUAUCGCUUGCUUCACAGUUCACAGCAGCACAAAUGGUGGUCAGCUUCAGAAGACCAGUAUGCUUUGUGUAAGAGACCUA
rnacentral:lncRNA from 1 species